UCGAGAAUCUUCGGCAAUGGGCGAAAGCCUGACCGAGCGACGCCGCGUGGAGGACGAAGGCCUUCGGGUUGUAAACUCCUGUCGAGAGGGAGGAAGGCGUGGUGCAGAGCCAUGCUUGACCGAUCUCUGGAGGAAGCACGGGCUAAGUUCGUGCCAGCAGCCGCGGUAAGACGAACCGUGCGAACGUUAUUCGGAAUCACUGGGCUUAAAGCGCGUGUAGGCGGGCCGGCACGUCGGAUGUUGAAAGCCCCCGGCUUAACCGGGGAAGUGGCACCGAUACGACCGGCCUGGAGGGGGGUAGGGGGAGCCGGAACUUCCGGUGGAGCGGUGAAAUGCGUUGAGAUCGGAAGGAACGCCCGUGGCGAAAGCGGGCUCCUGGACCCCACCUGACGCUGAGACGCGAAAGCCAGGGGAGCGAACGGGAUUAGAUACCCCCGUAGUCC
rnacentral:rRNA from 1 species